rnacentral:rRNA from 1 species
GGUCAAAUUAUUAAGGGCUUACGGUGGAUGCCUUGGGACCAAGGGCCGAUGAAGGGCGCGGUAAGGCUGCGAUAAGCCUCGAUGAGCCGUCUAACAGGCAUAGUCGGGGAUUCCCGAAUGGGGUAACCUGUUCCGGUGUUGAGCCGGUUCAUCCCGCAAUUGCGGGAGGGUAAGCGGGGGAACUGAAACAUCUAAGUACCCCGAGGAAAAGAAAUCAACCGAGAUUCCCUAAGUAGUGGCGAACGAACGGGGAACAGCCUAAACCAUUAUGACUUAACGGCGGGAGGGCCUAUGUCAUAGUGGGGUUAUAGGGAAUAUCUAGGAUCGCCUCUCCAGAUCCAUGGAAGUUACCAAUCUUGUUUCUAGCCGAAGGACCCUGGGAAGGGCCGUCAUAGAGGGUGACAGCCCCGUAGGCGAAAGAGGCAAGACUUCCGGUAUUUUCCUGAGUACCACGGGGCACGGGAAACCUUGUGGGAAGUUGGGGGGACCACCCUCCAAGGCUAAAUACCCUUGGUCACCGAUAGCGCACCAGUACCGUGAGGGAAAGGUGAAAAGAACCCCUAGCGGGGAGUGAAAUAGACCUGAAACCGUAAGCCUACAGAAUGUCGCAGCCUCGAUUCAGUUCGGGGUGACGGCGUGCCUAUUGAAGAAUGAUCCGGGGACUUACUGUAUGGAGCAAGGUUAAGGAACUGGAGUUCCGGAGCCGUAGCGAAAGCGAGUCUGAAUAGGGCGUUCAGUUCCAUGUAGUAGACUCGAAACCGGGUGAGCUACCCAUGGCCAGAUUGAAGGUUCGUUAACGCGGACUGAAGGAUCGAACUCGUGGCUAGUACAAAAGCUUGGGAUGAGCUGUGGGUAGAGGUGAAAUGCCAAUCGAACUCGGAAAUAGCUAGUUCUCCCCGAAAUGCAUUUAGGUGCAGCCUCGGGAAUUAGGAGGACGGAGGUAGGGCACUGAAUGGGCUAGGGGGCGUGAGCUUACCAAACUCAAUCAAACCACCAAUGCCGUUCUGCCGAUACCCGGGAGUGAGACAGUCACAGAUAAGUGCGAUUGUCAAAAGGGAAACAGCCCAGACCACCGGCUAAGGUCCCCAAGCGCAGGCUAAGUGGGAAAGGAGGUGGGGUUCCCAAAACAACCAGGAGGUUGGCUUAGAAGCAGCCAUUCCUUUAAAGAGUGCGUAAUAGCUCACUGGUCGAGGGGUCCUGCGCCGAAAAUGUAACGGGGCUUAAGCCUGCCGCCGAAGCCGUGGAUGUUCAGGUACAACAACUUAAUUCCAGCCUUAUGGUGCAAUGCCGUAAGGGUGGAGUGCAAGUUGUUGAAGCUGCCUGGGCGUGGUAGGGGAGCGUUCCUCGGGCGACGAAGGUGAGUCGUGAGGCUUGCUGGAGCGCGGGGAAGUGAGAAUCCCGGAAUGAGUAGCGUAAAUCAGGGUGAGAAUCCCUGACACCGAAAGCCCAAGGUUUCCUACGCAACGUUUAUCGGCGUAGGGUUAGUCGGUCCUAAGCCGUAGGCAAGUGCCGAAGGCGAUGGACAGCAGGUUAAUAUUCCUGCACCGCCGUUGUUUUUAUGAUACUCGGAGGGGUGCGGAAGGGUAGGUCGGGCGUCUUAUUGGAUUGGCGUCCUCCUCCGUAGGCGAGCCAGGGCAGGCAAAUCCACUCUGGCGUUAAGCUGAGGGUUGAGGGAAUCGUAGUCUAAGGGCUAACGAAAUCCGGCUGAACCCAAACCGACGAGAAAAGCUUCGUUUGGAGAAGCAGCGGCGACCGUACCGCAAACCGCCACUGGUGGGCUGGGAUAAAAGUCCCUAGGUGUUCGAGCUAACCUCCGCUAAGGAACUAGACAAAAGAGCCCUGUAACUUUGGGAGAAAGGGCCCCCUGGGGGGUGAAACCGCUAGCCGGUGGAGCGCUUCGGGGGCGCAGAUAAGAAGGCCGGGCGACUGUUUAACAAAAACACAGGUCUGUGCUAAGGGGAAACCCUACGUAUACAGGCUGACGCCUGCCCAGUGCCGGAAGGUUAAGGGGAGUGGUGCAAGCUACGAACUGAAGCCCCGGUGAACGGCGGCCGUAACUCUAACGGUCAACCGAACGCUGCAAGUCCAGGUUACCUGGAAGUGCUGUGUUUAAGGCCGUUGUAAAAUCUGGCUAUAUGCUGGGAAGUCCGAGGAUCCGGCGCUACCGGCCCCGACAUCAUAAGGGGAAGGUGACAAUGUGUCCGGUGCGGAUUAUCAGCAGGAAAGACCUGACCAAUGCGACUCUUUGGUGCAUCUGCCAGGGGCGACUCUGGCGGCUAAUCUGGGAGAAGCAAAGUUAGGAAUCCUCAGAGACCAUACGCCGGACCCGUAGGCGGAACGUACGGGAAGAUAUGGUCCGAUCUGCAUGGCGACAUGCAGAGGUCGGCAGAAAUGACCGGCCCACCUCUUGCUUGGCAACAGGUCUGGAGGGAGUAACAAAAUGCCUAAGGUAGCGAAGUCCCUUGUCGGGUAAGUUCCGACCCGCAUGAAUGGUUGAACGACUUGGCCAUUGUCUCGGCGGAGGGCUCGGUGAAAUUGCGGUGCCCGUGAAGACGCGGGCGACCCGCGGCAGGACAAAAAGACC